rnacentral:lncRNA from 1 species
UUUGCCAUCAUGUGUAAAUUCACUUAAGUAAUCAUCUACACUAUCUGCUUUAAAAUUGUGUUGGCAGCAUGACUGGGAAGUCAGUUCGGAGCGGUGGAUGGAGCUACCUGUUUCUCUUCCAUUUCAGAAGAAAUACUCCAAAUGCGCUAAUGAGAGAGAGCGAAGGAUGUGUUUGAGGAAGGCAGGCCAACCCCGAGCGCUUAGUGGGCGACAGAUCCACAGCUUUGCCCUGCAUCUGCUCUCGGCUCUAUUUUACAGGACCACCCUUGGAGAUUUUCUGUUCAGCUUUGAACCAUUCCAGACCUUUGAAAUAGACUCAAAUGUGGGUUAAAUGAAAUGGGUUAAGUGAAUCCAUGAGCACCACAACCAGAAGAAGAGUUGAUCAAUGAAUUCUCACCUAUAUAUAAAAUGCAAAGGACCAGAGGGAGUCUGGGUGGACAUCGACUGGAUCCAAGUGCUCCAAAGCGACCAUACCCACGGCACUCCUGAGGACUUCCAAACACCAAGACUUUAUUACAUCCUCAAGCAAACUGUUCCAGUGUUUCACUGCCCUUAGCGUUAACAAGUUUUACCUACAGAGCCUUAAGAAGUUUUACCUACAGAGUGACUGAGAUGCCUGAACAUAGGUCUCUACUGCCUUUUAAAAUGUCUUAUGGCAUCUUGCCUUGCCUACAGCUUCAUCACAAAGUUACAAAGCUCCCAUAGGUCCUUUAUCACGUCUGCCAGCCUGUUUUGGACCCCCGGCUACCUAAAUCGACACUAAAUACUUGUGUAUAGGCGCCUGAAUUGUUCCCUUAACCUGACUGCUUCUUGCUGUAAUGUAACAUCUUUACUUUUUGGCCUAGCCAGCAUGGCUAGGGAAUAUAGACUGUGUCCUUCUGUCCUUGUUUACUUUCCUGAAGACUCUCAGUUAAAACAAUUGUGUUUAUUCAGUCUUUUUUCAGAGUCUGGUUUCCUUAAAUCGCUGAUCAUUUGGGCUGCUUUCCCUGGACCCUCUCUGAACACUCCACAUCUUUUAUAAAGUGCAGCACCCAAGAGAAACCCAGCACUCCACCUCUGCUGGCCCCAACCAGUGCUGCCUGAAAUGGAGGUCAUUCAGGAGUCUCGCCAACAAUGCUCCUGCUUAUAUGUGCUAAUACGCUGUUUGCCCUUUCCACCACACCACGACAGUGUUCCCCCCUCUUCAGCAUGAGAUUUGAUCAUCUCUUCAUAUGCUUCAAUGCAGAGUCACCUUCUUGCCAGCCUCUCCAUAGUUUUCAUGUCCCUUGUUCCUGUCUAGACAUAGGACUCAGAACUGGCCCUUAGGAGGUGGUAUCCUAUUUUUUCCAGAC